rnacentral:rRNA from 1 species
UACGGAAGGUCCGGGCGUUAUCCGGAUUUAUUGGGUUUAAAGGGAGCGCAGGCUGGCGAUUAAGCGUGACGUGAAAUGUCCCGGCUCAACCGGGGAGUUGCGUCGCGAACUGGUUGCCUUGAGUGCGUACGAGGACGGCGGAAUUCGUGGUGUAGCGGUGAAAUGCUUAGAUAUCACGAAGAACCCCGAUUGCGAAGGCAGCCGUCCAGGCCGUAACUGACGCUAAAGCUCGAAGGUGCGGGUAUCGAAC